AGAAAAGUAACCGCCGCCCCGCGCAGGGGCGACACCAAUAGACCGUCAAGCCAACCAGUUCAACGACGGAGCGCGGAUCACCGACUCCAAACCCGCGCCCCUGCGAGCCCCUC
rfam:Burkholderia sp. TJI49 contig1053, whole genome shotgun sequence.